GGAGAGAUGUCCGAGCGGCUGAAGGAGCACGACUGGAAAUCGUGUGUGCGUUAAUAGCGUACCGAGGGUUCAAAUCCCUCUCUCUCCGCCA
rnacentral:tRNA from 1 species